UUGAGUGAGGCAAAGUACAAACUAAGAAAAUGAUAAAGGAUGGGUAGAAAGGGACAAGGGGAUGGGUCUCUUGCUGUAGGAAAGUAGCCCAAGGGAACAAGGUGAGGGGUGAGGAGAGGGAAGAGGAAAUAAGAAGAAUAAAGACAUGCCACGUACAGGAACCCAGCAGCCCCAAUUAAUGUAAACAUUUUAUCCCAUAACAGGAUCUAAGGCAAAUAAAGUCAAGAGGAAUGAAAAAUGUGACAGAGGAACUGGAGGGGGGCUGGCAGAAGGAGAUUUUAAAAAAGAAGAAAGAAACAUGCAACUUGUACAUGUAGCCACUGGCCAAGAUGACAGUAAACUACAUGAACUGCAAAAGUACAAGGAAAAUUUUUAAUUUUUUAGAAGAGGAAGGGUUUUUAUCUCCGUAUUUUAGAUGAGACGGUCACACAGGAAGGCAAGUUGCUUGCCUAAGGACACCAUGAAAUCAAAAAAUCCACCUCUGGCUGCCAGGAACGGGGAGGGGCUGGAGAUGGAGACGGCCCACAGCUGAACCCUGGAAGGGGAUCGGGACCUGGGAUUGCGGCCACGUCGGACAGGAGCUGCGGCCGGCCGGGAACUCACUGCCGGCCACUGGCAGGGGAGGGUCAGAGGAUUGCAGAUGUAGGGAGAAACCCACUGGACAGGUCACAGAAGUGCUCCAAUUCGACUGUGGGCAGAGAGGAAGAAAUGCAGUCUGGUUUUGCAGAAAGAUAAUAAAAAAUUUAAACGCUCAUUGACAUUCACUGUGUUAAACACUCUACAUGCAGGAUCUUAUU